CCUGAUGACCAUAGCAAGGUGGUCCCACUCCUUCCCAUCCCGAACAGGACAGUGAAACGCCUUUGCGCCGAUGAUAGUGCGGGUUCCCGUGUGAAAGUAGGACAUCGUCAGGC
rnacentral:rRNA from 4 species